AAAAAACACAUCACAUUGAUGGCAAAGUCUUAAUGGGGCGGUCCUGUACAUAAUCAUCUCCAAUGAUGCCAGUAAUUGCCCACCAAAGAAAGCCAGAGGAAAAAACAAGGCAUCGACUGGUGAAGAACAAAGGGUGAGAUGGCAAGCUUACGGGCCAUGGGAGGCUACACCAGCCCCUUGUUCCAGUUAAAAAGAUUUCAGAAUUAAUUGAGUCAGCCCAAUUCCUAAUGUAAUCUGUUCUUUCUGCAGGCAAUUAGCCACCUACAAGCCUUUAGGCUGCUGGUAAUUUGACAUUGGGGCUGUGUGCUCCCUAGAGCCCCUGCACACGGAAUAUGAACACAGCAGAUGUUCAGUGGUUACAGAGGCAACCAGUGAACUGCACAUUAAAUGUCCAUGUUAAAUCAACUCCAGCAGAGUAAAUUUGAUCCCUUUGGGGCUCAUUAGUUAACUUGUAAAUCAAUACUGAGCAGUGAACAUGUUUUUAUUAAAAUUUUAUUCAUUUUCACAUAAAUACAACAUAAAAGUUCACAUUUACCAUCCAUAAUGAGAAUAUGUGGGGGUACCCUAACUGCUAUCAUGAGUUUAUACUGUUGGCUCAUUCAGU